GUGAGGAAUAUUGGUCAAUGGGCGAGAGCCUGAACCAGCCAAGUCGCGUGAAGGAUGAAGGUUUUAUGAAUUGUAAACUUCUUUUGCAGGGGAAUAAAGUACGGUACGUGUACCGUUUUGUAUGUACUCUGCGAAUAAGGAUCGGCUAACUCCGUGCCAGCAGCCGCGGUAAUACGGAGGAUCCGAGCGUUAUCCGGAUUUAUUGGGUUUAAAGGGUGCGUAGGUGGAUUGAUAAGUCAGCGGUGAAAGUUUGCAGCUUAACUGUAAAAUUGCCGUUGAAACUGUCGGUCUUGAGUGCAAAUGAGGUAGGCGGAAUGUGUUGUGUAGCGGUGAAAUGCUUAGAUAUAACACAGAACUCCGAUUGCGAAGGCAGCUUACUGGGAUGCAACUGACACUGAUGCACGAAAGCGUGGGUAUCAAACAGGAUUAGAAACCCGAGUAGUCC
rnacentral:rRNA from 1 species